AGGGUUCGAUUCUGGCUCAGGAUGAACGCUAGCGGCAGGCUUAACACAUGCAAGUCGAGGGGCAUCGGGAGUAGCAAUACUUGCCGGCGACCGGCGCAAGGGUGCGUAACGCGUGAGCAACAUGCCCGUAUCAGGGGGAUAAUCCAUGGAAACGUGGUCUAAUACCCCAUAGUAAUUAUGUAAGGCAUCUUAUAUAAUUUAAAGCUUUGGUGGAUACGGAUUGGCUCGCGUGACAUUAGCUAGAUGGUAAGGUAACGGCUUACCAUGGCUACGAUGUCUAGGGGUUCUGAGAGGAAGGUCCCCCACACUGGAACUGAGACACGGUCCAGACUCCUACGGGAGGCAGCAGUGAGGAAUAUUGGACAAUGGAUGGAAAUCUGAUCCAGCCAAUGCCGCGUGCAGGAAGACGGCCUAUGGGUUGUAACUUCUUUAUAAGGGAAUAAGUGAGGGACGUGUCCCUUUUGUAUGUACCUUAUGAAUAAGGAUCGGCUAACUCCGUGCCAGCCGCCGC
rnacentral:rRNA from 1 species